rnacentral:rRNA from 1 species
UGGCCAGACUCCUACGGGAGGCAGCAGUGGGGGAUAUUGCACAAUGGGGGAAACCCUGAUGCAGCGACGCCGCGUGGGCGAAGAAGUAUUUCGGUAUGUAAAGCCCUAUCAGCAGGGAAGAAGAAAUGACGGUACCUGAGUAAGAAGCACCGGCUAAAUACGUGCCAGCAGCCGCGGUAAUACGUAGGGGGCAAGCGUUAUCCGGAUUCACUGGGUGUAAAGGGAGCGUAGACGGCCAUGCAAGCCUGGAGUGAAAGCCCGGGGCUCAACCCCGGGACUGCAUUUGAAACUGUCAGGCUGGAGUGCAGGAGAGGUAAGUGGAAUUCCUAGUGUAGCGGUGAAAUGCGUAGAUAUUAGGAGGGACACCAGUGGCGAAGGCGGCUUACUGGACUGUAACUGACGUUGAGGCUCGAAAGCGUGGGGAGCAAACAGGAUUAGAUACCCCAGUACAA